GCUAGCUACAGGCUUAACACAUGCAAGUCGAGGGGCAGCAUCAUCAAAGCUUGCUUUGAUGGAUGGCGACCGGCGCACGGGUGAGUAACACGUAUCCAACCUGCCGACAACACUGGGAUAGCCUUUCGAAAGAAAGAUUAAUACCGGAUGGCAUAAUUUUCCCGCAUGGAAUAAUUAUUAAAGAAUUUCAGUUGUCGAUGGGGAUGCGUUCCAUUAGGCAGUUGGCGGGGUAACGGCCCACCAAACCAACGAUGGAUAGGGGUUCUGAGAGGAAGGUCCCCCACAUUGGAACUGAGACACGGUCCACACUCCUACGGGAGGCAACAGUGAGGAAUAUUGGUCAAUGGACGAGAGUCUGAACCAGCCAAGUAGCGUGAAGGAUGACUGCCCUAUGGGUUGUAAACUUCUUUUAUACGGGAAUAAAGUGAGCCACGUGUGGCUUUUUGUAUGUACCGUAUGAAUAAGGAUCGGCUAACUCCGUGCCAACAGCCGCGGUAAUACGGAGGAUCCGAGCGUUAUCCGGAUUUAUUGGGUUUAAAGGGAGCGUACAUGGAUGUUUAAGUCACUUGUGAAAGUUUGCGGCUCAACCGUAAAAUUGCAGUUGAUACUGGAUAUCUUGAGUGCAGUUGAGGCAGGCGGAAUUCAUGGUGUAGCGGCGAAAUGCUUAGAUAUCACGAAGAACUCCGAUUGCGAAGGCAGCCUGCUAAGCUGCAACUGACAUUGAGGCUCGAAAGUGUGGGUAUCAAACAGGAUUAAAUACCCUGGUAGUCCCCACGGUAAACGAUGAAAUACUCGCUGUCUGGGAUAUAGUGCAAGCGUCCAAGAGUAAGCGUUAAGUAUUUCACAUGGGGAGUAGGCCGGCAACGGUGAAAUUCAAAUGAAUUGACGGGGGUCCGCACAAGCGGAGGAACAUGUGGUUUAAUUCGAUGAUACGCGAGGAACAUUUACCGGGGUUAAAUUGCAGAUGAAUUUAGGUGAAAGCUGUAAGUCGCAAGGCAUCUGUGAAGUUGUUGCAUGGUAGUGAUCAGCUCGUGCCGAGAGGUGUCGUCUUAAGUGUGAUAUCGAGCGCAACCGUUGUUGUCAGUUAUUAACAGGUUCCGAUGAGGACUUUGACAAGGAGGCCAUCGUAAGAUGCGAGGAAGGUGGGGAUGAUGUCAAAUCAGCAUGGCCUAAACGUCGGGGGUUACACGGGCGUUACAAUGGGGGGUACAGAGGUCCGAUACCACGCGAUUGGAUGCCAAUCCACAAAACCUCUCUCAGUUAGGUCUGGAGUUGGCAACCUGAGUUCAUGAAGGUGGAUUCGAUAGUAAUUGCGCAUCAGUCAGGCAGCGGUGAAUAGGUUUCCGGGCCUGUUACACACCGGCAGUCAAGCCAUGGGAGCCGGGGGUUCGUGAAGUCAGUA
rnacentral:rRNA from 1 species